AAGUCGUAACAAGGUUUCCGUAGGUGAACCUGCGGAAGGAUCAUUACAGAGUUCAUGCCCUCACGGGUAGAUCUCCCACCCUUGAAUAUUAUACCUUAGUUGCUUUGGCAGGCCGGGGCAACCCCCGGGGCUUCGGCCUUGGUGUGCCUGCCAGAGGAAACAAACUCUGUUUUUAGUGAUGUCUGAGUACUAUAUAAUAGUUAAAACUUUCAACAACGGAUCUCUUGGUUCUGGCAUCGAUGAAGAACGCAGCGAAAUGCGAUAAGUAAUGUGAAUUGCAGAAUUCAGUGAAUCAUCGAAUCUUUGAACGCACAUUGCGCCCCGUGGUAUUCCGCGGGGCAUGCCUGUUCGAGCGUCAUUUCAACCCAUCAAGCUUCGGCUUGGUCUUGGGGCCUGCGAUUCCGCAGCCUCUAAACCCAGUGGCGGUGCCUCCGAGCUCUGAGCGUAGUAAUUCUUCUCGCUAUAGGGUCUCGGUGGUGUCUUGCCAGUAACCCCCAAUUUUUUACAGGUUGACCUCGGAUCAGGUAGGGAUACCCGCUGAACUUAAGCAUAUCAAUAAGCGGAGGAAAAGAAACCAACAGGGAUUACCUCAGUAACGGCGAGUGAAGCGGUAACAGCUCAAAUUUGAAAUCUGCCGCAAGGCCGAGUUGUGAUUUGUAGAAGAUGCUUUGGGUAUGGCCCCGGUCUAAGUUCGUUGGAACACGACGUCAUAGAGGGUGAGAAUCCCGUAUGUGACUGGGUGCUUUUGCCUAUGUAAAGCUCUUUCGACGAGUCGAGUUGUUUGGGAAUGCAGCUCAAAAUGGGUGGUAUAUUUCAUCUAAAGCUAAAUAUUGGCCAAAGACCGAUAGCGCACAAGUAGAGUGAUCGAAAGAUGAAAAGCACUUUGGAAGGAGAGUUAAACAGUACGUGAAAUUGUUGAAAGGGAAGCGCUUGCAACCAGACUUGCACGCUGUUGAUCAUCCAGGCUUCUGUCUGGUGCACUCGGCAGCGUUCAGGCCAGCAUCGGUUCUGGUGGUGGGAUAAAGGCCUUGGGAAUGUAGCUUCUUUCGGGGAGUGUUAUAGCCCUCGGUGCAAUGCCGCCUAUCGGGACCGAGGACCGCGCUUCGGCUAGGAUGCUGGCGUAAUGGUUGUAAGCGACC
rnacentral:rRNA from 1 species